rnacentral:rRNA from 1 species
UACGUAGGGUGCGAGCGCUAAUCGGAAUUACUGGGCGUAAAGUGUGCGCAGGCGGCCGCGCAAGUCGAGUGUGAAAGCCCCGGGCUUAACUUGGGAAUUGCGCUCGAAACUACGUGGCUGGAGUAUGGCAGAGGAAGGUGGAAUUCCACGUGUAGCGGUGAAAUGCGUAGAGAUGUGGAGGAACACCGAUGGCGAAGGCAGCCUUCUGGGCCAAUACUGACGCUCAUGCACGAAAGCGUGGGGAGCAAACAGG